UAAACUUGGUAUAAGAUGUCAAACCAAACAACACGGAACCUUCCUCUAUUACUCGAAAUGAAACAAACUGAACUCGUCACCCCUCAAAGCACACUCCUCGUGAAGUCCUAUCCCUUUCUACUUUAGACAGCGAUGUUCUCAAUGAAGACAUGUACGCGACCAUUUAUGUUUACAAAGCUAAUGAACAUAAUAAAAACGAUCCUGUCGCUCUAAUUAGGAAAGCUUUGUCCGAGCUUCUUGUGUAUUAUUAUCCACUUUCAGGCAAGCUAGUGAGAGGAGAGAGUGGCCGAAAGCCUCAGCUAGUUUGCCAGGGCGAGGGUGUCCCAUUUACCGUCGCUACGGCAUCACUAGACCUCACUUCUCUAGACUAUUUGGAAAAACUUGACGAUGAAGUUGCUUUGCGUCUUGUGCCUGAGAUUGAAAUUGACUAUGAUACUGAUUUUUGUUAUCAUCCUCUAGCUUUGCAAGUGACCAAGUUUGCUUGCGGAGGGUUUACCAUUGGCACUGCAUUGACGCAUGUUGUGUGUGAUGGAUUUGGUGUGGCUCAGAUCAUCCAUGCUUUAACCGAGUUCGCUGCAGGAAAGAGUGAACCAUCGGUGGUGCCGGUGUGGCAGAGGGAGCGGCUUGUUGGGAAAAUUGAUAGUGAACCGGCCAAAGUACCCGGUGGCCAUAUUGCUAGUCUUCUGGCCACCUCACCGUACAUGCCAACUUCUGAUCUGGUAUGUUGUUCACCUCACUAGAUCAUAAAUCCCCAGCACUAAUUCUCUAUAAAGUUAGUUACCGCCUAACGAUUUUUUAAUAUUGUUAAAUCUAAUAGUAUUGUUGAUUUCAUAUGUUUUCUUUCUAGAAAUUAGUUAAUUUAUACCUAUUUUAUGUCAUUUAAUCUUAUCUUAUAUAUAUCCAACAGGUCACAGAGAUAAUAAUAUUCAGGCUGUGAACAUAAAGAGGCUUAAAGAUUCCUUGAUGAGAGAAUGCGAGUUCCCUGAAGAGUGUUUCACCACUUAUGAAGUACUUAGUUCUUGCAUAUGGAAAGCAAGAUCUCGAGCCCUUAAACUAAACCCGGACGGGAUCACUGUCCUUGCCGUAGCUGUUGGAAUCAGACAUGUUUUAGAUCCUCCCCUUCCUCAAGGAUACUACGGUAACGCCUACAUAGACGUGUAUGUCGAGUUAACCGUCAAAGAACUCAAAGAAUCAUCGAUCUCUGACAUUGCAAAGCGCGUCAAGAAAGCCAAGAAAACGCCUACGACAAAGGGUAUAUAGAGGAGGAGCUGAGCAACGGAGAGAGACUGAUGAGAGACGAUGCCAAGUUCGAAGGUGUGAGUGACGGUGUGUUUUUCUUGACGGACUGGAGGAAUAUUGGUUGGUUUGGAUCGAUGGAUUUUGGUUGGAAUGAGCCGGUGAAUCUGAGGCCGUUGACUCAGAGGGAGAGUGCAAUGCAUAUAGGAAUGAUCUUGAGACCUUCUAAGUUAGAUCCAUCGAUGGAAGGUGGAGUUAAAGUGGUCAUGACGUUACCAAGAGAUGCAAUGGUUAAGUUCAAGUCAAAUAUGGAUGCUAUGAACAAACUUUAGUUCCAUUGCAUAUGAACUUUCUUUACGUUAAAAGAAUAAAAGUGAUAUGCAAAAUAUGUAAUAAUGUUGACUACAUCUAUCAUUUUCACUGUGGAACCUGAAAUAUUUAUCAUUACAGGUUCUGACAUUGUUAUACAAUAUAUGAGAUUAUACUUUGUUU